rnacentral:rRNA from 1 species
GACGAACGCUGGCGGCGUGCCUAAUACAUGCAAGUCGAACGGAAGCGACCGAUGUUUCUUCUGGUCUCUAUUGUGGCGAACGUGUGUGUAACACGUGGGUAACCUGCUCCACAGAGGGGGAUAACAUCCGGACAGGGAUGAUUAAACCGCAUAGGUCCUCGAACCGCAUGGUUUGGAGAGGUAAAGAGGCGCAAGAUUCUGCUGCUGGCUGGCCGCGCGGUGCAUUGGCGAGUUGGUGCGGUAACGUCUCCGCAUUGCCGUGAUGAAUAGCCGACCUGUGAGGGUGAUCGGGCACAGUGGGACUGAGACACGGCACUAACACCGACGGGAGGCAGCAAUAGGGAAGCUACCGAGAUGGACGCAAGUCUGACGGAGCAACGCCGCGCGAGUGAAGAAGGGUUGCGUGUCGUAAAACUCUGUUGUUAGUGAAAAACAAUUGCUAGAGGAACUGUGAGCGACGUGACGGUAUCUAACCAGAAAGCCACGGCUAACUACGUG